GUGUAUCUUCUCUGCAUUGUCUCAGAAAGGAAGAGGCCUUGCAGUCAUUGAUGGCAUCUGAUUACAUCUAGAAAACCACAUGCUCAAGGGGCUAUAUUGCAACUAUGGCUCUCAGGGAGAGUGAAAAUUUUCUGAAUGAUAUGACCUGGAACACAGAAGAACAAAUACCAUACAAAUUCACUCAGAAGAUAAAAGGCAACAGUCUUGAUUCUGAAUGUGAUCUAUGAUGGCUUCAAAGCAAAAGAAUAAGUGCAAGACUGUUAUUCCCCUCCUACCCUCAUGUCUUCUUGAGGAAGAUUGGAACUGUCAGCCUUUGGACCCAAAGGGACAGUAGAUGGAUGGGCUAAACAGCGAAAAGAGGCAGAUACUAGAAAGGUAUGUACGAGAAUCAUUAUUAAUAUGUUGUGGGUUGGUUUUUUUGGUUCGUUUUUUUUUUUCUUUCUCAGUAUUACAUAGAGGAUUUGGAAAACUGUUAUAAGAUUAAUUAGACUAACAGUGGAUUCCAAGCUUCAUACGCAUGUUGUGUUGUCUUUUGCCUGUAACAAUUUGAAUGCAAGACUGUGGCAGCUCUUACCAAGCAAGCCGUGCUCCAAGUUCUGGAUUUUCUGCUUUACCCCAGCACUAACCUUGGAUAGUGCCUUGGACAGAGUUUGUCAGCCCUUCCACUAAGUAAAAGUACUCCAGGGAGAAAUUUUUGCAUAUUUGGAUUCUUUUCGUUACUUCUCUCCAGCUUUGCUCUCAGUAUGUCCUGCAACCAUCCUUAAAGGAAAAUGGCAGUUGAGGGAGUAAUUGAAAAGAACACAUUAUUUUUAAAGAAAGUCUGUAGGUUUCCUGAGACGUUAGGUCACAUCCGUUUCUUCUUCUUUCCUGCUCACCCAGUGAAACAAGAAUAUAGAAGUGGCUUGAGAAGACUUACGACAGCCAAUAUACCUCUUUUAAUUAUACCUCUCCUGGGCACGUGUGGGAUGAAUAUAAAGUAUGUCUUUUCUUAUGUUCUUCAUGAAAAUUAAAACACCACAUAAUGGAUAAAAUCUUGUUCUAUAUGGUUUCUUUUUGAAUUUCUCAUGUGGGAUUAGAUGAUGAGGUAGAAAAAGGUAACUGCAGAAAUUGAAGAAAAAAAUUAAAAAUGCCACCUAAUAUCAUGUCCUCUUCACUCACUUGAUAUAUUAAUUCCAUAAGCAGUGCUAAAAAAUAAGAAACUAUAUGUAUGUCUAGUGAGGAUGUUGUUUUGUAGUCUUUAGCAGGGACUGCAUUGCUCUCAUAUUCCAUGACCUACUCUUUCACUUAUUUACAACAUUAUUUAUCACAUAGUGAAAAGCACUAAAAGUAAAGGGAGAUUAGAAUUUAUAGAAGUCUUUGUUGAAGCAGCACUAUUUAUACGCUUCACAUAAAACUAUGCACUUCUGGCUAUAGUGACAAUAUGCCCAAUUUUACAUAAUUGUUUUGUCUUAUUAAUUUUUGUACUUUUACCUCCAGCUAAAGAUGGUUACAGUAUCAGAAGCAUCAGUAUCUCCCACAAGUUAAAGUAGGCAUAUAGGUUAGAUGCCAUUCAAAGGUUAAGAAGACUUUCAUUGUGUUUCCCUCUUAUUCCUUUCCUUUCUGUUAGCUGAUACAAAUAAUGGUUUCUGAAAGAAGAGGGAAAAUAGGCUAACAAUAACCUCCCAGGCAGGAACUGUAAUGGGAUUCAAACUUGUCCCUGUCUUAUCUUCAUUUCCUUUCCUGGCAGGUCUGAUUGCUUAUAUGCAAUCUUGUCUUUCACAAAACGUUUCUUCAGAAAUUAUUUUAAAGUGCAUGGAAUACACAAAACAGAACAUGGAAGGAAAACUUGAUUAAAAAAAUCCAGAGUUGCAUUGCAUUUGCUCUUAACAUAUCUCAGGACUGAUCUCUUCAUGUAAACAUCUUGAAUAAUUUUUCAUCUCUCUGUGUUUCAAGUCUAUUAGCUUUUAAUUCAGAAAAACACAACUAAGAGUUUUGAAUAAUUUAAUUACUUUCUUAUUGUCUCAAAUUCCUGUUACACAUUUGUUACUGCUCAAGUACUCUGAAUUACAUCAGUUAGCUUGUAUAUAACAUUUUUUCCUCUUGGUUUCACGGUGAUGAGUAUACAAUAUGCCAUAUCUUUAUUGCAUAGUCAGUGUUGUCAGGCAAUUUUAUGUUUGCGAUCUUAAAACCACUGUUUAAAUCCAGGUUCUUGCCAUUGUAACAAUUUGAAGUAAAUGACACUAAAUAAAGUAGCUCUGUUCCUA
ensembl:lncRNA